rnacentral:rRNA from 1 species
GACGAACGCUGGCGGCGUGCCUAAUACAUGCAAGUCGAGCGAAUCUUGAGGUGCUUGCACCUCUUGGUUAGCGGCGGACGGGUGAGUAACACGUGGGCAACCUGCCUGUAAGACUGGGAUAACUUCGGGAAACCGGAGCUAAUACCGGAUGAUCCCUUUCCUCUCAUGAGGAAAAGCUGAAAGUCGGUUUACGCUGACACUUACAGAUGGGCCCGCGGCGCAUUAGCUAGUUGGUGAGGUAACGGCUCACCAAGGCGACGAUGCGUAGCCGACCUGAGAGGGUGAUCGGCCACACUGGGACGGAGACACGGCCCAGACUCCUACGGGAGGCAGCAGUAGGGAAUCUUCCGCAAUGACGAAAGUCUGACGGAGCAACGCCGCGUGAGUGAUGAAGGCUUUCGGGUCGUAAAACUCUGUUGUUAGGGAAGAACAAGUACGAGAGUAACUGCUCGUACCUUGACGGUACCUAACCAGAAAGCCACGGCUAACUACGUGCCAGCCGCCGCUGUAACAC